UACGUAGGUGGCAAGCGUUGUCCGGAAUUACUGGGCGUAAAGCGUGCGCAGGCGGUUCGUUGUGUCUGAUGUGAAAUCUCUGGGCUCAACCCAGAGUCUGCAUUAAAAACUGUCGGGCUUGAGUAUGGGAGAGGUGAGUGGAAUUUCCGGUGUAGCGGUGAAAUGCGUAGAUAUCGGAAGGAACACCUGUGGCGAAAGCGGCUCACUGGACCAUACUGACGCUGAGGCGCGAAAAGCUAGGGGAGCAAACAGG
rnacentral:rRNA from 1 species